rnacentral:rRNA from 1 species
UACAGAGGGUGCAAGCGUUAAUCAGAUUUACUGGGCGUAAAGCGUGAGUAGGUGGCUCGCUAAGUCGAUUGUGAAAGCCCUGGGCUCAACCUGGGAAUUGCAGUCGAUACUGGUGAGCUAGAGUUCGGUAGAGGGUGACGGAAUUCCCGGUGUAGCGGUGAAAUGCGUAGAUAUCGGGAGGAACAUCGAUGGCGAAGGCAAUCACCUGGGCCUGAACUGACACUGAGACACGAAAGCGUGGGUAGCAAACAGG